UACGAAGGGGGCUAGCGUUGCUCGGAAUCACUGGGCGUAAAGGGUGCGUAGGCGGGUUUUUAAGUCAGGGGUGAAAUCCUGGAGCUCAACUCCAGAACUGCCUUUGAUACUGAAAAUCUUGAGUCCGGGAGAGGUGAGUGGAACUGCGAGUGUAGAGGUGAAAUUCGUAGAUAUUCGCAAGAACACCAGUGGCGAAGGCGGCUCACUGGCCCGGUACUGACGCUGAGGCACGAAAGCGUGGGGAGCAAACAGGG
rnacentral:rRNA from 1 species